AUACUCUGGUUUCUCUUCAGAUCGUAUAACUCGCCUUUUACUAAAAAUUUCCGUCGAGAGGAACAAUCUGAGUUGUUAGCCAAUUUUUUGAGGCCAUGUGUCUGCAAGGCU
ensembl:snRNA U5 U5 spliceosomal RNA